rnacentral:tRNA from 1 species
GGACUCGAACCCAUACUUAAGAGAUCAAAACUCCACGUGCAUCCUCUACACUACUUUUUA